rnacentral:RNase_P_RNA from 1 species
GAAGUACGCCGGGCGAUCGCACGGCGCGUCGAACGGCGCGCUUGGGUGAGGAAAGUCCGGGCUUCACAGGGCAAGGUGCAGGAUAACGUCCUGUCAGGGUGACCUGAAGGAAAGUGCCACAGAAACAUACCGCCCCAAAAACUGCAAGCAGUUUUUGGGGACCCCGAGAGCUUUUGAAAGGUGCUCCGGUGCUUCGCACCUGUGCACCCCCCGCGUUCCGCGGGGCCCCCACAUCCCGCGAACGAGUCGUGGGAUCUCUGGGGGACCCGCGCGAGCGGGGGCGCGCAGGUGCGAAGCACCGGAGUGCCUCUUUCAACUCGUGGGGUCCCCAAAAAGCGCAAAGCGCUUUUUGGGGUAAGGGUGAAAUCGUGAGGUAAGAGCUCACGGAGCUUCGCGGUGACGCGGGCUCGGGUAAACCCCACCUGAAGCAAGACCGCUCGAACUCUGGGACCUUCGAGUCCC